CAGUUCUUAUCUCACAGCCAGAAGGAUGUUCAGACCCUGCAGGACCUAGUUGAGUUGGCCAGGGAAGGACUUACCCUCACUCAGUGGAACCUUGAUGUUGAUCACAUUCAGGCAGUGGAGCAGCCAGGAAAAGAAAUGACUUCCUGUGAUACUCCACAUAGUGGCUUUGUCCCCCCAUCCAAAGAGAAGAGCCUUCUGACGAGCAGCUGGAAAAGAUCCUCUCUCAGGUUGCUGGCUGAAGAUUUCAGUGCAAUGGUCAACAACCCCCACUUGAGUGAUGUCCAGUUCCAGGUGGACUCUGGGGAAGUCCUUUACGCCCACAUGUUUGUGUUGUACGCACGGUGUCCACAGGCCAUUCAAGUUGU